GACGAACGCUGGCGGCGUGCUUAACACAUGCAAGUCGAACGGAAAGGCCCUGCUUUUGUGGGGUGCUCGAGUGGCGAACGGGUGAGUAACACGUUAGUAACCUGCCCUUGACUUUGGGAUAACUUCAGGAAACUGGGGCUAAUACCGGAUAGGAGCUCCUGCUGCAUGGUGGGGGUUGGAAAGUUUCGGCGGUUGGGGAUGGACUCGCGGCUUAUCAGCUUGUUGGUGGGGUAGUGGCUUACCAAGGCUUUGACGGGUAGCCGGCCUGAGAGGGUGACCGGCCACAUUGGGACUGAGAUACGGCCCAGACUACUACGGGAGGCAGCAGUGGGGAAUAUUACACAAUGGGCGGAAGCCUGAUGCAGCAACGCCGCGUGCGGGAUGACGGCCUUCGGGUUGUAAACCGCUUUCGCCUGUGACGAAGCGUGAGUGACGGUAAUGGGUAAAGAAGCACCGGCUAACUACGUG
rnacentral:rRNA from 1 species